ensembl:lncRNA
CAAUGAAUAUUCAGGACUGAUUUAGUCACUAGGCUGGAGGUGUGCGUUGUUGAAAUGAUCACGGAGAACUUAAUCUUGAGCAACCUGUAGCGCCUAUUUGCAGUUGUUCUGCAGGACCUAAGACCCCUACCAAGGCAGAGGAUUGUGAUUACCUUUUGAGCACAAGAAGUAGACCCCAGACUGGUGGAACCAGAAAGCUGAUGAUCCAGAUUCCUGAAAACAUCUGUUACCACCAACCAAUCAGAAGAAAGUCAUGUACCCUGCAGCUCUCACCCUAAAUGUUGCCUUUAAUAAUCUUCCCCUGAAAACCAUGAAGUUCAGGUUCUUUGAGGACGGUGGUGGUGGUUUAGUCCCUAAGUGGUGUCCGACUCUUGGUGACCCCAUGGACUGUAGCCUGCCAGGCUUCUCUGUCCAUGGGAUUUUCCAGCAAGAAUACUGGAGUGGGUUGCCAUUUCCUUCUCUAGGCUUUGAGCAUGAGGUUCCUGUUUUCUUUGGGUGGCUUCUGCAAUAA